rnacentral:snRNA from 1 species
AUUGCUUCUCGGCCUUUUGGCUAAGAUCAAAGUGUAGUAUCUGUUCUUAUCAGCUUAAUAUCAGAUAUGGUCCCUACUUGGGACCAUCGAUAUUAAACUGAUUUUUAGAAUGUGGCAAACAAUUAAGGGCUUGCUCUGCCUUUACCACGUUUUGACCUGAUAUUGCAGUACUUCCAGGGUUCGACCCAGUAACU